rnacentral:tRNA from 1 species
GCCGACGUAGCUCAGUUGGUAGAGCAGCGCUUUUGUAAAGCGCAGGUCGUGGGUUCGAUUCCCUCCGUCGGCUCCA